CUCUUCCUUCUCGCUGCAGGACAAACAACUCCACCAAAGAAAAGCAAAGCAAAAGAAAGGCUCUGCUGCAGCUUCCCAACCCCAGGGGAAACCCGCUCUGCCAGCAGCCACAGGUUGCUUCUUGCCUUCAUUUUCCUGGGCUUUUCUGGGCAGGACUUGGCCUCGCAGGCGUGGUUUGCAGGUGGCUUUCUGUGCUCCGGUGAGCUCUGCAGCAUGGCUGAGCGUGCUGCUGCAAGGCUGCACCUCUCCGGGCUGUGCUUCUUCCUCCAGCUCCUCACCAUCGUCCUCUUCGCCACCUUUGUCCGGUACAGCCCGGAGAGCUCCAACCUCUGCUCCACGGAGCCAAGAUGCAGCCAGAGAGACCCCAGCCCGACUUUGGGGUACCCCCGGUUCCGGGAUGCCCACCUCCGAGCUCUCCUUGGCUUCGGCUUCCUACUGGCCUUCCUCAGCCGCUAUGGGGUGGGCAGCGUGGCUGGCAGCCUCCUCAUCGUGGCCUUCACCAUCCAGUGGGCCAUACUGGCCCAGGGGCUCUUUUACUUCUCCCAGAACAGCAAGAUUUAUGUGAGCACUCAGAGCAUGGUCAGUGCCGACUUCUGCACCGCAGCCAUCCUCAUCUCCACUGGGGCUGUUCUGGGCAGGGUGAAUCCCAUCCAGAUGCUGCUGAUGGCUCUGCUGGAGGUUCCCCUCUUUGCUUGCAAUGAAUAUAUCCUGCGGAGCAUCCUGGGGGUAAGCGACAGUGGAGGCUCCUUGACCAUCCACACUUUUGGUGCUUAUUUUGGCUUGACGGUUUCACGCGCCUUGCACCAGCCCCACGAGGACAAGAGGAAAGAGCAGCAGGACGUGGGGCACGGGCCCGAUGUCUUUGCCGUGGUUGGAACCAUUUGCCUGUGGAUCUUCUGGCCCAGCUUUGCCUCAGCCACCACAGCCCACGACAGCGCCGAGCCCUGGGCAGUGCUGAACCUCUACUUCUCUCUGGCAGCGAGCACCCUGGCCACCUUCAUCCUCUCGCCCAUCCUGUAUGAGGAGGGCACGCUGCAGGUGGCCCAGCUCCAGGAUGCCACCUUGGCCAGCACAGCCGUGAUGGGGAUGGCGGGGGAGAUGCUGUCCACCCCCUUUGGGGCCCUCACAGCAGGUUUCCUGGCCAGCCAGCUCUCCCUGCUCAGCUCCAGGUUCCUCUCGCCCAUCCUGCGAUCCAGGCUGAAAACCGAGGACACGUGUGGAGUGCACAACGUCCACGGGCUGCCGGGGAUCCUGGGCACCUUCCUGGGGACGCUGCUGGCGGCGCUGGCCACCGCGGAUGUAUUCGGCGACAGGCUGCAGCUCGUCUUCCCGCUGGUGGCCGACGGCAGCCGCACGACCGCUGAGCAGGCGCAGUGGCAGCUAUGCGGGCUGGUCGUCACCCUGCUGCUGGCUGCCCUCGGGGGCGGCCUCACGGGAGCCCUCCUGCGAACGAAGGUGCUGAGGUCUCCCCCCGAAAGGAACGAGCUGGAGAGCAAAGCGCUGCGAGAGGUGGAUGAGGAUGGAUGUGACCACGGGACGAGCAGCGAGGAGCGACGUACCAUCGCCUGACAGCCCUGACAGCGUGAUGAGUUCCAGGCAGUGCCUGCAGCCCCACGUUCCCAGCCAGGCUCGUCUCCAUGCGUUCCCCAAAGAGGAUGGGGGCACAGAGGGAUGUACAGCAAAGAGAUGCUGCAGUCAUUUGGUUUCUUGCUGUGGGAAGAAGGGACUGCCCGGCUUGGUGCGGAUUCAGACCUCGUUUGGGAUUUGCUCUUGAAUUCAUACACCGUUUGCCAAGGAAGAAAGCAAAGCCCCCAGGAUACCCCCCCCCCCUCACCCUACACAGCAGCGCUGGGGAGUCACAGGGUCCCCAUUUGAGCCAUGGAUUUCAUGCUUAGCUCUGACCCCUCCAUUACCUCAGCCACCAGAGGGUGCCACAGCUCGGGGCCAGGCCGUGGUGACAGCCUGGUCCCCUGCAUGCAGGUGGUCUCCCUCCUCCCAUCCUUCCUCCAAAGCAGCGAAGUAUCACUCGGUCCUCUUGAGAGACGGAUGCCCCCAUGGUCCUGGUUGGCAUCGCACUGAAAAUACACUGAGAUCUGAAAUGAGAUGGGGGGGGAAAAAAACAACCAGCAACAAACCAACUGCUUGGUUCCAGGCUGACCGAAAAUGUUCGCUUUAAUUGGGGCUCUUUAAUUCCUUUUAGAAACGGUGGAGAGAAAUUUGGAGGCUGGUGCACUGUUCCACAGCAGAAGUUGAAAACGUUCGCCUUUGAUACACAUCAAACCAACGCCUUAACGUUCCCAGGGAUCCCCACUUGCUCAUUACUAAGAACCCAAUGAAAUCAA